AAUUUGUUCAAACGGUGGAACAUGUGGUUUAAUGCGAUAAUCCACGUAUAACCUCACCAAUAUUUAAAACUUAAUUUUUAAAAAAAUAAUAUUAUUAUUAGAUAAAUUAAGUUUCGGUACUGCAUGGCUGUCGUCAGUUCGUGUUGUGAGAUGUAAAAUUUAGUUUUUUAACGAACGUAACCUUUAAUUUAUUAUUAAUUUUUUAUUAAUAAAUUAUUUGAGCUGAAGUCAAGUCCUUAUGGUCUAUAUAUAUUGGGCUACACACGUGUUACAAAGACAAUAACAAAAAGAAACAAAUACGUAAGUAAGAGUAGAUCUUAAAAAAUUGUCAUAGUUCGGAUUAUUCUAUGUAACUCUAGAAUAUGAAGUUGAAAUCGUUAGUAAUUAUAAGUUAGUAUAUUAUAAUGAAAUCUAAGUCAAAUUUUGCACACACUGCCCAUCACGCUCAGAAAAUUUUAUGAAAUUUAAAGUAAAUUAUAUUAAUAAUUAUAUGUCAUAUAAUAUUUUAGAUUGUUUUACUGUAGUUUUAUAGAGUGAUUU
rnacentral:rRNA from 1 species